rnacentral:pre_miRNA from 1 species
AAUUGCAUUUAGGUGGGGAAAGGUGUCAAUGUUUUAGUGAAUAUCAAUUAAUAUUGCACUUGUCCCGGCCUAUAAGCGAUUU